rnacentral:sRNA from 1 species
AGAAGCAAUAACGAAUAGCAAUACUAGGAACCACCUCCUUGCCGGCCCAAUCUCCCUUGGGCUGGUUUU